rnacentral:lncRNA from 1 species
CCAGACCUGCAACACUGUCUCUAUGACUGCAUAUGCAAUUAUGUAUACAUGCAUAACUGUUUCCAAGUCAUGCUCCUUGGAAGAGCAAGCCAUUGACGGUCACCCCGCCGUCUACGAUAAUAGUCUGCCCAGUAAUGUAAGAGGCUGCAGGUAGGCAUAGAAAUGCUACCAAGGAAGACACCUCCUCUGGCUCUCCAGGACGUCUUAAAGGGCAUCGAGAGUUUAUCAUCUCCAAUUUCUUUUCAUUUCGGAGAACCUGCAUGCAUAGAAGAGAUAAUGGAUGAAAAGAGAAUGGAUGUGUAGGACACAUAUAUUAGCGACGAUCUUAAAAAUUGGUCAAGCUAUUCGUAAACAAAUUAAUUAAGACUAGAUGUAUGAUCUAAACUUGCUGUAAACUUUUCACCGAAAAACUUGCUGUAAACAAGUCAGGUCUAAGAACCUAUACAGACAUAUGGACUUUCGGCAAAACCCAACUUUUUAUUCUAAUUUUGACCAUAGGUUUUUGGCAGACUCAUUAACGAAAUACGGAUUAGCUUGAAGUUAUGAGAUGAUUGUAAUAUAAGAAGUUAAAACAAUUCACUCAUGUAUCUUAAAUGUGGUUUUGAUUUUCUUGCCGCUACAUCGAUUGUAUUUAAAAAAAAUAAAAAUAAAAGGCAUGCACAAGAACGUGAUCCAAAUAAUCUUACAGGUUCAGAGAGGGGAGUCGUGAUGAACCAAGGCGCCACACUGUUGGUCCUUAUAUUAUCCUUCGCCCACUCACAUGCUAAGUUUUUUGCUAACUGAUUCAUUGCGCCUGAGAUGCAAUAAAGAAAAGCCACACUUUGGUCUAACAUUAAAAAUACACACCAAAAACAGCGUAAUCAAAUUUUAGGUUAGUCUAAAAGUGAUAUAAACAAUGUAUGAUACUUUUCAAUUUUUUAAUCUGAUUUAAGGUGUUAGUCUAAAAGUGAUAUUUAGAUUUGAAUGAAUUUUUAACUAAGUAUAAACAGUAUAUGAUACUUUUCAAUUUUUAAUAAAAGUCGAAAUCUAUAUAAGAAAAUUAACUAUAAGCACCUUUAGCAGCAGAAUAUAUAGAUGCACCAUUUAUUGAGACCACACCAGCAGUAGAGGACAGAAAAACAAUGUUAGCAGCUCCUGCAGCUUUGAGAAGAGGAUGUGAAAGUUGGCAAAAGUUGUAAGCGGAUUCAAGAUUGGUACUCAUUAUGAAUGAGUAAUCUUCGGCUGUGUACUCUACCGUUGCUUUCGCUUCGACAAUCCCCACAUUGUUUAUCUAUAACAAGACAUUAUUGAAAAGGUUUAGCAUAGCAUAACGAUUUUAGUUUAUAUGUAUUAUUGAAAAAUACAUGAAAAUUAUGUGUAUUAAACGUAAAAAAGUACAUCUUUGAGUUUUAAAAAACGUACAAUUUUACAAAUUAUUGAAAUUUGAAAUGUGUACAACAAACAUAAUUAUUUAUGAGAGGAUGUUUAGUUUGUCUUGAAAGUGUGAUGAUGGUUAUUCAUGAUUCAUGCACAUAUGUUGUUUCAACUGAUCAGUCUUCUACUUACAAGGAUGUUGAGUUUGCCAUCAAAAAGUGAUGAGACCUUGUUUAUAAGCUCCUCUCUUUGGGUUUUUGACACCACAUCACAGACUGAGCCAGUGACUUGAAAACCCUUCUUCUCCCACUGACUCAGGCAGUCAUUAAGGUCAACUUCAUUUCGGGAACAAGUAUGCACAAUUGCACCCAGCCCUGCCAAUUCCUCCACUAUCGCAUACCUAAAUAAAACUUUACUAAUUUAACAUAGAGCAAUACAAAAUAAUUCAAACCCAUAAUUCUAAAACAGAAGAAAACACGGGACAAGUGGAGAAAUAAAGAGAAUAUUGCAUUGGAUGUAUAGGAAAAUUAAAACUAACAGAAGAUUAAUGUUCUUAAGUAUCCAAAUUUAGAGAAGCUAACCCAAUUCCUUUGGUUCCACCGGUGACAAGAGCUGUCAUUCCACGUAGAGACCAUGUCCUCUCUCUGCUAUUCAUCUCUAUCUGCUCUCUAAUCUUCCUGUCUGCUCUCUAAUCUAUCUUUAUGCAAAUACUUUGUGGUUUCGGUUAUAUUUCUUUUCGAUAGGAUAACUAUUGUAUAUUUUGGCGGCCAGGGAAAGGUACGCGUGCCAUCUGUUCAUUCAGCAACUUGCAACAUUUUGGUUGCUUGUUUUGACGUGGCAAACUAAUGCAAAUUGAUUGUCCAAUUUGAAUUUGACUAAAUUAUAUUUCAUCCAAUUUCAACAUCUUACAAUGACUGUCUAUUUCAUACAACUUUCGAUUCAAUCGUUACACAGUGAUUCAAUAAUUCAGGACGAAUUCUAAUCUCAUAUUCUAUAAAGCUCGUUUUGAAUUUGAUUCGUGACACCGAUGAAUUAUACACUAUAAAGAAUUGAAGUUUAAAGAACACUAUUUCAACAAACUUUUGGAACUAGAAAGCAAAGAUACUUUUGGAGCUAGAAACAAAUGGAAGGUAUUACGGUUCGUCCUGAACGAGAUCGAUGUCUUUUCGGUUAAUUUUUCAGCAAAUAGACAUGUCAUUGAGAGUAUUGUUUAAACCCAUAAACAUUUUGAACUAUUUUUACUUAACAUCAUCAUAUUUAAAAGGGCUUUAGUUAUUUCACUAGCACUUUCAAUUGGAAACCGCCCCCUGUAACAAGCUAGACAUAUGAAGUUAUGAGAAUACUUAAAGAGCAAGUCGUCCAAAUCAUCUUUAGGUAAUCUUUGGAGGGGUCAGUUGAUGUUGCUUAAAGAGUUUUUGUAACAUUUCUCGUCUAAGUUCACCUCAGUACUUAAGUUUAAUUAUUUUUUAAUCUUUAAUUGUACGAAAAGAAAAAAAAGGGACAUAUAACAUGAAUGUAGGGUCAUCAUAUCAACUAAAAAAGCUUCAUUGGAGUAUUUCGUCGAGCACCUAGUAGGCACCUACCAAUUCCUGCCAACAUAUACCGAAAGCUUAUGCUAACGUAUGUCGACAACUAUUAUUAUUGUAGAGGCUUGUCAAUGGUGGAUGCAAGAUGCCGUGGAGUAAUGUUGAAGAUUGUUAAGACUUGUCAACUAAGGUAUUUCAUUGAGCACAUGGUGGUCACAAUAGAAUCACACAAGAGGAGAGAAAGAAGACAAAUGUGAUAGAAUAAAGUAGAAGAAGUAGGAGGAGGAGGUUGUAAAUUUCGUUUGCCUUAGUUGUUUAUAGGGGUCAAAUAUAAUACGCAAACAAAUAUACAUGAAGGUUUUUAACUUGUUGGGUCAAGAGCAACCAAUGAUCUUAUGCUGACUUUGUCACUGAUAAUAAGAUCCCUGUCUUAAUUUUUUGCUAAGAACAUAAAAAAUCUUGUAUCGUUGAGUAUUGAUAGGAACAUGUCAUCAGCCUUGUUGUAUCUUUGAGGGGCCAAGGAAAAAGAUGAUGUGCAAUGCUUCUUGAGGAGUUUUGUUGUUUCUCAAUAAAAUCUAGUCAUUUGAAUUUCUUGCUUCUAGUACUACCUAAUGCUUGAAGUUUGAACAUGUUAUAGAAGCAUUUUUUAUUGUUUUGAUCAUACAUACAUGUCGAUCAUUUUCAAUGAACUGGCGAUUUCGGUGGUGCUCUUUGAGAUGUUGGAGUCUUCUCUUCAUCAGGUUUGGCGUGAUCUCAGGCGUUUGUUGGUGGCGUUCUAGCGGCGGCGAAGGGUAGCAAGUUGCUAGGGUUUGUUGCGGUUUUUUUCUUUUGGGUGGUCUCAAACUUUUGUUUUGGGCCAUUUUUGCUUUACUCUGGAGGCCUACAUCUAUGUUGUGUGCUUAUUGUGAUUGAGCUUCUUUCUUUGUAAUUAUGUUGUCUUGAUAAUAAUUUUAUCCUUUAAAUAAACAACAAAAAAAAAUUUUCCAAACUUGGAAGCUCUUCUACUAGAGUGAAACGAAAUGUCAAUAGACCGAAUGGUUGGCAAUCUUUUAUUUACAUAUUAAAUUAUAAAUUAAUGUCACCUAUUUUCACAUACAAUUAAAGCACACCACUUUAGAAUUAGAUACGAGAUUUUAUUUUUCCAGACCUGCAGCACUGUCUCUACGACUGCAUAUGCAAUUAUGUAUCCAUGCAGAACUGUUUCCAAGUCAUGCUCCUUGGAAGAGCAAGCCAUUGACGGUCACCCCGCCGUCGACGAUAAUAGUCUGCCCAGUAAUGUAAGAGGCUGCAGGUAGACAUAGAAAUGCUACCAAGGAAGACACCUCCUCUGGCUCUCCAGGACGUCCUAAAGGGCACCGAGAGUUUAUCAUCUCCAAUUUCUUUUCAUUUCGGAGAAACUGCAUGCAAAGAAGAGAUAAUAGAUGAAAAGAGAAUGGAUGUGUAGGACACAUGUAUUAGCGACGAUCUUAAUAAUUGGUCAAGUUAUUCGUAAACAAAUUAAUUAAGAUUAGAAGUAUGAUCUAAACUUGCUGUAAACAAGUCAGGUCUAAGAACCUAUACAUGAAUAAACAAGACAUAUGGACUUUUGGCAAAACCCAACUUUUUAUUCUAAUUUCAAUUAUGGGCUUUUGGCAGAAUCAUCAACGAAAUACGAAUUGGCUUGAAAUUAUGAGAUGAUUGUAAAUAUAAGAUGUUAAAAGAAUUCACUCAUGUAUCUUAUAUGUAGUUUUGAUUUUCCUGCCGCAACAUCGAUUGUAUUUAAAAAUAAAUAAAAAUAAAAUGCAUGCACAAGAACGUGAUCCGAAUAAUCUUACAGGUUCAGCGAGGGGAGUCGUGAUGAACCAAGGUGCCACACUGUUGGUCCUUAUGUUAUCCUUCGCCCACUCACAUGCUAAGUUUUUUGCUAACUGAUUCAUUGCACCUGAGAUACAGUAAAGAAAAGCCACACUUUGGUCUAACAUUAAAAAUCACACACCAAAAACAGCGUAAUCAAAUUUUAGGUUAGUCUAAAAGUGAUAUAAACAAUAUAUGAUACUUUUAAAUUUUUUAAUCUGAUGUAAGGUGUUAGUCUAAAAGUGAUAUAUUUUUUUCAAAGAAUUGAAUGAAUUUUUAACUAAUUAUAAACAAUAUAUGAUACUUUUCAAUUUUUAAUAAAAGUCGGAAAUCUAUAUAAGGAUUAACUAUAAGCACCUUUAGUGGCAGAAUAUAUAGAUUCACCAUCUAUUGAGACCACACCAGCAGUAGAGGACAAAAAAACAAUGCUAGCAGCUCCUGCAGCUUUGAGAAGAGGAUGUGAAAGCUGGCAAAAGUUGUAAGCAGAUUCAAGAUUGGUACUCAUUAUGAAUGAGUAAUCUUCAGCUGUGUACUCUAGCGUUGCUUUCGUCAAGCUAGUCCCCACAUUGUUUAUCUAUAACAAGACAUUAUUGUAAAGGUUUAGCAUAACAUAACGAUUUUAGCUUAUAUGUAUUAUUGAAAAAUGCAUGAAAAUUAUGUGUAUUAAACGUAAAAAGUACAUAUAUACGUGUACACAUUUUUGAGUUUUAAAAAACUUACAAUCUUACAAAUUAUUGAAUUUUGAAAUGUGUACAACAGAGUUAUUUACGAGAGGAUGUUUAGUUUGUCUUGAAAGUGUGAUGAUGAUUCAUGAUUCAUCCACAUAUCUUAUUUCGUCCUGGUUUGGUACUGAGGUGAUUCUGAAAAAAGUAGAUAUCAAAAAAAGUUCCCAGCUUUUUUAUGUUUGGUAAACAUUCAGCUUCAACUUUUUUUCACAGUUUUGGGUGAAAAAAAACCAAAAACACAAAGCUGCAAAACCUAGCUUUGAAAAACCAGUUUUUUUUUCACAUCUGUUUUACAUAAAAGUUUAUCAAACACUAUAAUAUUGUUUUUUUUUUUAAAAGUACUUUUACAAAAAAGUUUACCAAACACUCUACUGCUUUAUUUUACAGUUGCUUAUUCUCACAGCAUAGCAGAAACAAUUUUUUUCAAAACACAACAAUACCAAACCAGCCCUUCAACUGAUCAAUCUUUACUUACAAGGAUGUUGAGUUUGCCAUCAAAAAGUGAUGAGACCUUGUUUAUAAGCUCCUCUCUUUGGGUUUUUGACACCACAUCACAGACUGAGCCUGUGACUUGAAAACCCUUCUUCUCCCACUGACUCUGGCAGUCAUUAAGGUCAACUUCUUUCGGGAACAAGUAUGCACAAUUGCACCCAGCCCUGCCAAUUCCUCCACUAUCGCAUACCUAAAUAAAACUUUACUAAUUUAACAUAGAGCAAUACAAAAUAAUUCAAACCCAUAAUUCUAAAACAGAAGAAAACAUGGGACAAGUGGAGAAAUAAAGAGAAUAUUGCAUUGGAUGUAUAGGAAAAUUGAAACUAAAAGAAGAUUAAUGUUCUUAAGUAUCCAAAUAUAGAAGCUAACCCAAUUCCUUUGGUUCCACCGGUGACAAGAGCUGUCAUUCCACGAAGAGACCAUCUCCUCUCUCUGCUAUUCAUCUCUAUCUGCUCUCUAAUCUAUCUUUAUGCAAAUACUUUGUGGUUUUUAUUAUAUUUCUUUUCGAUAGGAUAACUAUUGUAUAUUUUGGCGGCCAGGGAAAAGUACGCGUGCCAUCUAUUCAUUCAGCAACUUGCAACAUUUUGUUUGCUUGUUUUGGCGUGGCAAACUAUGCAAAUUGAUUGUCCAAUUUGAAUUUGACUAAAUUAUAUUUCAUCCAAUUUCAACAUCGUUCAAUGACUUUCUAUUUCAUACAACUUUCGAUUCAAUCGUUCAAUAGUUCAGUACGAAUUCUAAACUCGUAUUCUAUAAAGCUCGUUUUGAAAACUUGAUUCGUGACACUAAUGAAUUAUACACUAUAAAGAAUCAAAGUUUAAAGAACACUAUUUCAACAAACUUUUGGAACUAGAAAGCAAAGAUACUUUUGGAGCUAGAAAACAAAAGGAAGGUAUUACGGUUCGUCCUGAACGAGAUCGAUGUCUUUUUGGUUAAUUUUUCAGCAAAUAGACAUAUCAUUGAGAGUAUUGUUUAUAGGCAUACAAUUCUUCUUGCUCCACAUUUUUUAAGGUUAAAUUACAUUUUACCCCAUCAAGUAUGGUAUAAAUUACAACCUUAUACAACAUCUUUAAAACAUUUCAAUUUCAUACAUUUAAUUAUAUUUUAUUUUCAGUUUUAUACAUCCGUUAAAAUAUCUGUUAAGUCAACCGUUACAUGAUAAUGUGGUAAAUGAUGACAUGAUUCUCAACUUUGCACCAUGUGAAUAAGAAAAUAAUAAAAAAGGAUUAUUUAAUAAAAAAUCAAUUUAUAUUAUAAUUAAAAACAAACAAAAAUUGAAAAGGGCAUCUGGGCAAUCACCCUCUUCCUCCUCCAGCACCACCACCAACGCACCUACGAAACCCUAGCCGUAAAGAGAAACGCGCACAGCUUCCAUCUCUCUAUCGGCAUAGCCCCAUGUACGAUCAGCCAUGGGCAAAUUUCACGGAUCGUUCGCACAUGCCCUUAUCCAUUCACGCAAGGACCUGCAACCAGAUAUCGACCCGCUACUGAAACCCAGACCAUAAAUCUGAUUGAAGCCCAAACCACUGCCGCACCUGAUCGAUUCUGAACCACGAAUCUGUUCUGAACCACCGCUACGAUAUUAGACCCGAUGAACCACAAAGAGCUGCCAUUUGAUUGUCGCGAUGACCUCUGCCGCAAUCUGUUUGAACCACCGCACCGCGCCCAGACCCCUGCAUCCACAAGCCCGACCUGCUUGCCUCGAGCAGAUGUAACCAAAAAAGCCGGUACCCUUACCAUAUUUGUACUGCACCUGCAUCCACUAGCACCGUCUAGCGCCUGUAUCAAGCCAAAUCCUCAUUUAUUUUCUAUUUUCGUGGUGAAAGGGGGCUUCAAGCCCAGAUCCUAUUUCGUCAAUUUUAAAUGGAGUUGAAAUGAAAUUUUCAAAAUCUUUACAAUUUUUUAAAUUUGCAAAUCAAAGGAAUUCAUAAAAUGAACACAAUUUCAUCAAUUUGGAGCUUUUGAAGUUGUUAAGGGUUGAAGAGGAGGAGGAAAACGAGUUUGGAGAAAGAAAGGCGGCGAGGUUGCUCGAGAAGAUGUAGGGUGGGGUGGGGGGGGAGGUUGCGGGGGAGGUGGGGGGUGGGGCGGGAAGGGUGGGUUUGGGUUGCGGGGAAGGGGAAGGGGGGCGGUUGCGGGUGGUUUUUUUGGAUGGGAGGGUAGGUGAAGAGAGUCGAGGAGAGGAAGAAGGUAGGUGGGGAAGAUGGGUUUCAGUUUUUUUUUUAUUUUUUAAGUGUAAAUUAUUAUAUUUUAAAUGCAUAAAAAAUUAAUUUGUUUGUCAUGGCAUAAAUUUAGCAAUCAUGUCAGCAUAAAUGUAGAUCUCAUAUUUGUCACGUCAUCAUUUAAUUGUAUAUAUGAAAUUGAUAUAAAAUGAUAAGUAGAUGCAUGAAAUUAAAAUGUUUGUAAGAUAACAAUAUAUAUGAAAUUGAAAUAAAAUGAUAAGUAAAUGUAUGAAAUUAAAAUAUUUUAAAAAUAUUGUAAGAAGUUACAAUCGAUCUCAAACUUAAAGAGAUAAAAUGUAAUUUUUUUUUUUAAUGCAAUCUUGUUAAGGGUCACAGAAUGAGUUAAAUAUUCCCACGACUAUACGUAAGAAUCUCGGUCUGAUGGGAUGAAAAUAUGGCUCCCUUUGAAAGUAUUUUUUUUUUUUUUUUACAUUGCGUAGCAUGUUUGUCUUCCGCAAAACACUUCCAAGUAUCUUUUAAACCAAAAACAUUUUAAACUAUUUUUACUUAACAUUAUCAUGUCUCUGCAAUUGCUUUAGUUAUUUAAACAGCAUUUCGAAUUGGAAACAGGCUCUACAACAAGCUAGACAUAUGAAGUUCUGAGAAUAGUUGAUAAGCAAGUUGUCCAAACCAUAUUUAUGUAAUCUUUGGAGGGUUCAGUUUAAAGCAUUUUUCUGACAUCUAUCAUCUAAGUUCACCUCACCACUUAAAUUAAUUAUUUUUUAAUUUUUAAUUGAACGAAAAGUAAAAAAGGGGCAUAUUACAUGAAACGUAAUAAGAUUCCUAUCUAAUUUUUUUUCCAAGAACCAAAAAAAAAAUUACUUGUAUCGUUGAGCAUUGAUAGAGAUAUGCCGUCCAGUAAUCCAGAAAAUUAAUUUUAUGAUCAGCCAUGUAAGGAAAACGAUGAUGUGCAAUGCUUCUUGAGGAGUUUUGUUGCUUCUCAAUAAAAUCUAUUUAUUUGAAUUUCCUGCUUCUACUACUACCUAUUGCUUGAAGUUUGCAUAGAUUAUAGAAGCAUUUUUUAUUGUUCUAAUCAUACAUGUCGAUCAUUUCCAAUUAACUGGCGAUCUUGGUGGUGUUGUUUGGAGGAUGUCGCAAUCUUCUCUCCAUCCAGUUUGGGGGUUGUGUUUAGCCGAUCUCAGGCGUCUGUUGGGAACGAUGGUUUGAGAUGGUGGGUUGGUGGCGUUUUGGCAGUGGAGUAGCAAGUUGCUAGGAUUUGUUGCGGUUUUUUUGUGCUCAAACCUUUGUUUUGGGCCAUUUUUGCUUUUACUUUGAAGGUUGAGUUGAAUAUCAGAGUGCGCAACGAACAAGACUAACAAGAAUAAUAAGAAUAUUAUUAAACUAACUGAUAAUGCCGGAACGGCUACAAAACCCUAAGAGACUAAUAACUUGUUAUUUCUAUAGAGUUACAAAGUACCAUAUAUAUAGAAAAGUAAUCUAACCCUAAUAGACAAGAAAACGAAACCCUAAUUCUAACGGGCUAAGCCCAAAAUACCAAACAUUAAAAUAAAUCUAAAUAAUAAUAUUUUCCAAGACCCCCGUCAAACUCAUGGCGGUACACGACAUGAGUUUGCUAAAAUAGAUGUGGAUGCAAGACUUCAAAUUCCAGUGCUAAUGCCGAUGUCGAUGGCAAUGCUAAUGUCGAUGUCGAUGCCGAUUUCCAAUGCCAAAUUCCAAUACCAUGCCCAAUGCCAAGUUCCAAUACCAUACCCAAUGCAAGAAUACACGGGCAACAAAACCUCAAAACAACCAAAUUUUUUUUUCCUUCCUUCUCCCCCCCCCCCCUUUUUGUUUUCCUUCCUUCGUCCUUCCUUUUUUUUCUUAUGUGCGAACCAACCAGCAACAUCAGCCUUUCUUUUUUUUUUUUUUCACAGGUGUACGGUUGUGGACGGAUCCAGAUGCAAGGUGGGGCUGGGGAAUGCAGAAAUCCUAGUGCGAUGAAGCAUUUUCAAAUUUGGGUGUGAGACAAAUUCACCAAAUUCUUUUUUUUUUCAAAAACAGAAUUUUUUUUCCUUUCUUGAAGACUACCAAGGACAAACUGAAAACCAAACCAGAAAACGUAAAAAAUCUACGAAUGGAAACUGGAAAGAAAUAAAACUGAUACGAACAAACAGAAGUAGAUUAGAUCCCGAAGAAUCAAACAUGCUCUAAAACCAAGUUGAAUAUCAGAGUGCAACAAGACUAACAAGAAUAAUAGGAAUAUUAUUAAAUUAACUGAGAAUGCAGGAACGGCUACAAAACCUAAGAGACUACAUUGUGAAUAAUUUGUUAUUUCUAUAGUGUUACAAAAUACCAUAUAUAUAGAAAAGUAAUCUAACCCUAAUAGGCAAGGAAACGAAACCCUAAUACUAACGGGUUAAGCUCAAAAUAUCAAAUAUUAAAAUAAAUCUAAAUAAUAAUAUUUUCCAACCGGUUCAUAUUUGCGUUGUGUGCUUAUUGUAAUUGAAUUUCUUUCUUUGUAAUUUUGUUGUCUUGGUAAAAAUUUUACUCUAAAAAAAAUCGAGGCUUGAAAGCUCUUCCAAUAGAGCGCUACUAAAUGUCAAUAGACCAAAUGUUUGGCAAUCUUUUAUUUUCUUAUUUAAUUAGAACAUUAAUGAUGUCACCUAUUUGCACAUACAAUAAAAGCACACCACUUUGGAAUUAUUAAAUACGAGAUUUUUUUUUAGAACUGUUUCCAAGUUAUGCUCCUUGGAAGAGCAAGCCAUUGACGGUCACCCCGCCGUCGACGAUAAUAGUCUGCCCAGUAAUGUAAGAGGCUGCAGGUAGGCAUAGAAAUGCUACCAAGGAAGACACCUCCUCUGGCUCUCCAGGACGUCCUAAAGGGCACCGAGAGUUUAUCAUCUCCAAUUUCUUUUCAUUUCGGAGAAUCUGCAUGCAUAGAAGAGAUAAUGGAUGAAAAGAGAAUGGAUGUGUAGGACACAUAUAUUAGCGACCAUCUUAGUAAUUGGUCAAGCCCUUCGUAAACAAAUUAAUUAAGACUAGAAGUAUCAUCUAAACUUGCUGUAAACUUUUCACCCAGAAACUUGCUGUAAACAUGUCAGGUCUAAGAACCUAUACAUGAAUAAAAACAAAAGACAUAUGGACUUUUGGCAAAACCCAACUUUUUAUUCCAAUUUCGACUAUGGACUUUUAGCAGACUAAUAAAUGAAAUACGGAUUGGCCUGAAGUUAUGAGAUGAUUGUAAUAUGAUGUGUGAUAUUCACAUACUUUUUUUUACUUCUUACACAUCAUUUUAAUUUGCGACCGUCGAAUCGGAUAAAUUAAAAAAAGAUUAAAGAACAUAAAUCCAUAAGAGGUGUGUUGAUAGCACACCCCUUGUAAUAUAAGAAGUUCAAAGAAUUCACUCAUGUAUCUUAAAUGCGGUUUUGAUUUUCCUGCAGCAACAUCUGUUGUAUUUAAAAAAAGGAAAAUAAAAGGCAUGCACAAGAACGUGAUUAGAAUAAUCUUAC